UUAAAUUGAAGAGUUUGAUCAUGGCUCAGAUUGAACGCUGGCGGCAGGCCUAACACAUGCAAGUCGAACGGUAACAGGAAACAGCUUGCUGUUUCGCUGACGAGUGGCGGACGGGUGAGUAAUGUCUGGGAAACUGCCUGAUGGAGGGGGAUAACUACUGGAAACGGUAGCUAAUACCGCAUAACGUCGCAAGACCAAAGAGGGGGACCUUCGGGCCUCUUGCCAUCGGAUGUGCCCAGAUGGGAUUAGCUAGUAGGUGGGGUAACGGCUCACCUAGGCGACGAUCCCUAGCUGGUCUGAGAGGAUGACCAGCCACACUGGAACUGAGACACGGUCCAGACUCCUACGGGAGGCAGCAGUGGGGAAUAUUGCACAAUGGGCGCAAGCCUGAUGCAGCCAUGCCGCGUGUAUGAAGAAGGCCUUCGGGUUGUAAAGUACUUUCAGCGGGGAGGAAGGGAGUAAAGUUAAUAC
rnacentral:rRNA from 1 species